GUGCUUGCUUCUUCAGCAAAUAUACUAAAAUUGGAACUAUACAAAGAAGAUUAGCAUGACCUUGUGCAAGAAUGACACACAAAUUCAUGAAGUGUUCCAUAUGUUU
ensembl:snRNA U6 U6 spliceosomal RNA